UGAGUUUGAUUCUGGCUCAGGAUGAACGCUGGCGGCGUGCUUAACACACGCAAGUCGAGCGAAGCAUAUAAGCGGAAGUUUUCGGAUGGAAGCGUGUAUGACUGAGCGGCGGACGGGUGAGUAACGCGUGGGUAACCUGCCUCAUACAGGGGGAUAACAGUUAGAAAUGACUGCUAAUACCGCAUAAGCGCACAGGACCGCAUGGUCAAGUGUGAAAAACUCCGGUGGUAUGAGAUGGACCCGCGUCUGAUUAGCUGGUUGGUGAGGUAACGGCCCACCAAGGCGACGAUCAGUAGCCGACCUGAGAGGGUGGCCGGCCACAUUGGGACUGAGACACGGCCCAAACUCCUACGGGAGGCAGCAGUGGGGAAUAUUGCACAAUGGGGGAAACCCUGAUGCAGCAACGCCGCGUGAGUGAAGAAGUAUUUCGGUAUGUAAAGCUCUAUCAGCAGGGAAGAAGAAAGACGGUACCUGACUAAGAAGCCCCGGCUAACUACGUGCCAGCAGCCGCGGUAAUACGUAGGGGGCAAGCGUUAUCCGGAUUUACUGGGUGUAAAGGGAGCGUAGACGGCAUAGCAAGUCUGAAGUGAAAGCCCGUGGCUCAACCGCGGAACUGCUUUGGAAACUGUUAAGCUGGAGUACUGGAGAGGCAAGCGGAAUUCCUAGUGUAGCGGUGAAAUGCGU
rnacentral:rRNA from 1 species